rnacentral:lncRNA from 1 species
AAUCCUCCAGUAAAGUUCAUCAAGAAAAGCACUCAGCAGAAGGAAAAAUAAAAAACAGUCCAGUUCGGAAGCGGAGUCGACAGCGUCAUCCAGUACGUAAUCCUCCAGUAAAAAUUCGACAUCUUCCUAUUGUGACAGCAAUGAAGAUGACUGUUAUGGAAUACUUCCAGCUAUCAAAAUAAAGAGCAAGAGAGACAAGAUAAAAAGAAAUGGAUUGAAGAAAGAAAAAGAAAAGAAAAAGAAAGAAAAAGAAAAGAAAGAAAAGCUAAAGAAAAAAGGAAAGAAAAAGAAGGACACCUCUUCAUCCCCAUCUUCAGACUCAGGGUAAAGACAGAAACAGUAAAGAUUCGGUGGCAGACAAACUAUUCAUGAGCAGUAAAAUUUUCAUUCUCAUCUAAUCACAUGAAAACAGUAAAGAUUCGGAAAUUUUCUUUAAAUAGGGAGCCUUUCCCCUUGUGAAGACACACAAUCAUAUUACC